CAGUCGCCGCGGUAAUACGAAGGGGGCUAGCGUUGCUCGGAAUUACUGGGCGUAAAGGGAGCGUAGGCGGAUCGUUUAGUCAGGGGUGAAAUCCCGGGGCUCAACCUCGGAACUGCCUUUGAUACUGGCGAUCUUGAGUAUGGGAGAGGUGUGUGGAACUCCGAGUGUAGAGGUGAAAUUCGUAGAUAUUCGGAAGAACACCAGUGGCGAAGGCGACACACUGGCCCAUUGCUGACGCUGAGGCUCGAAAGCGUGGGGAGCAAACAGGAUUAGAUACCCGAGUAGUCCCUGUCUCUUAUAC
rnacentral:rRNA from 1 species